rnacentral:rRNA from 1 species
UACGUAGGUGGCAAGCGUUGUCCGGAAUGAUUGGGCGUAAAGCGUCCGCAGGUGGCAGUUCAAGUCUGCUGUCAAAGACCGGGGCUUAACUUCGGAAAGGCAGUGGAAACUGAACAGCUAGAGUAUGGUAGGGGCAGAGGGAAUUCCUGGUGUAGCGGUGAAAUGCGUAGAGAUCAGGAAGAACAUCGGUGGCGAAGGCGCUCUGCUGGACCAUAACUGACACUCAGGGACGAAAGCUAGGGGAGCGAAUGGG